UCUACAGGCUCAUAGGCGAAAGAGACUUGCCUUGUCUCAGAUGAGACUUUGGACUGUGGACUUUUGACUUAAUGUUGAAAUGAGUUAAAACUUUUGGGGAGUGUUGGGAAGACAUGAUUGGUUUUGAAAUGGAAAAAAAAGGUGAGAUU